GACGAACGCUGGCGGCGUGCCUAAUACAUGCAAGUCGAGCGAAGUUUUUCUGGUGCUUGCACUAGAAAAACUUAGCGGCGAACGGGUGAGUAACACGUAAAGAACCUGCCUCAUAGACUGGGACAACUAUUGGAAACGAUAGCUAAUACCGGAUAACAGCAUUAACUGCAUGGUUGAUGUUUAAAAGUUGGUUUUGUUAACACUAUGAGAUGGCUUUGCGGUGCAUUAGCUAGUUGGUGGGGUAAAGGCCUACCAAGGCGACGAUGCAUAGCCGACCUGAGAGGGUGAUCGGCCACACUGGGACUGAGACACGGCCCAGACUCCUACGGGAGGCAGCAGUAGGGAAUCUUCCGCAAUGGGCGAAAGCCUGACGGAGCAACGCCGCGUGAGUGAAGAAGGAUUUCGGUUCGUAAAGCUCUGUUGUUAGGGAAGAAUGAUUGUGUAGUAACUAUACACAGUAGAGACGGUACCUAACCAGAAAGCCACGGCUAACUACGUG
rnacentral:rRNA from 1 species